rnacentral:rRNA from 1 species
UACGGAGGGUGCAAGCGUUAUCCGGAUUUACUGGGUUUAAAGGGAGCGUAGGUGGGCAGGUAAGUCAGUGGUGAAAUCUCCGAGUUUAACCCGGAAACUGCCAUUGAUACUAUUUGUCUUGAAUAUUCUGGAGGUAAGCGGAAUAUGUCAUGUAGCGGUGAAAUGCUUAGAUAUGACAUAGAACACCAAUUGUGAAGGCAGCUUACUACGGGAUUAUUGACACUGAGGCUCGAAAGCGUGGGGAGCAAACAGG